rnacentral:rRNA from 1 species
UCCAGACUCCUACGGGAGGCAGCAGUGGGGGAUAUUGCACAAUGGGGGGAACCCUGAUGCAGCGACGCCGCGUGGGUGAAGGAGCGUUUCGGCGCGUAAAGCCCUAUCGGCAGGGAAGAAGGAGGACGGUACCUGACUAAGAAGCCCCGGCUAACUACGUGCCAGCAGCCGCGGUAAUACGUAGGGGGCAAGCGUUAUCCGGAUUUACUGGGUGUAAAGGGGGCGCAGACGGCGGCGCAAGCCAGGAGUGAAAGCCCGGGGCCCAACCCCGGGACUGCUCUUGGAACUGCGCGGCUGGAGUGCAGGAGGGGCAGGCGGAAUUCCUGGUGUAGCGGUGAAAUGCGUAGAUAUCAGGAGGAACACCGGUGGCGAAGGCGGCCUGCUGGACUGCGACUGACGUUGAGGCCCGAAAGCGUGGGGAGCAAACAGGAUUAGAUACCCGCGUAAG